AUACUUACCCGGCGUUGGGGAUACCACGAUCACGAAGAUGGUUCCCCCAGGGUGAGGCUCCGUCCUUGCACUAUGAUUGGGCUGACCCUUGCGAAUAUUCCUCUUGUGGAUAUCUCGGGCGCACUAUUUUUGGUAGCUGGGACUGCGUUCGCGCAAUCCCGA